rnacentral:ncRNA from 1 species
GAAAGCCGUAUGCUUUGGAAGAAGCUUGUACAGUUUGGGAAGGGGUUUUUUAGAGAAAAGAAGAAUCUACUUCA